rnacentral:rRNA from 1 species
CAGAGGGGGCAAGCGUUAUUCGGAAUUAUUGGGCGUAAAGGGCGCGUAGGCGGCUUUGCAAGUGACGGGUGAAAUCCCACGGCUUAACCGAGGAACUGCCUGUCAAACUGCAUGGCUUGAGACCGGGAGAGGUGAGUGGAAUUCCCAGUGUAGCGGUGAAAUGCGUAGAUAUUGGGAGGAACACCAGUGGCGAAGGCGGCUCACUGGACCGGUACUGACGCUGAUGCGCGAAAGCGUGGGUAGCAAACAGGAUUAGAUACCCUGGUAGUCCACGCCGUAAACGAUGAGUGCUUGGUGUAGCGGGUAUCGACCCCUGCUGUGCCGAAGUCAACACAUUAAGCACUCCGCCUGGGGAGUACGGUCGCAAGGCUG